CCUACGGGUGGCUGCAGUAGGGAAUAUUGGACAAUGGGUGCGAGCCUGAUCCAGCCAUGCCGCGUGCAGGAAGAAGGCCUUCUGGGUUGUAAACUGCUUUUGCCAGGGGAUAAAAUAGCUAUGCGUAGCGAAUUGAAGGUACCUGGUGAAUAAGCCACGGCUAACUACGUGCCAGCAGCCGCGGUAAUACGUAGGUGGCAAGCGUUGUCCGGAUUUAUUGGGUUUAAAGGGUGCGUAGGUUGUUUUGUAAGUCAGUGGUGAAAUCCGGCAGCUUA
rnacentral:rRNA from 1 species